rnacentral:rRNA from 1 species
UACGGAAGGCAGCGGGUGGGGAAUAUUGCACAAUGGGCGCAAGCCUGAUGCAGCCAUGCCGCGUGUAUGAAGAAGGCCUUCGGGUUGUAAAGUACUUUCAGUCGUGAGGAAGGUGUUAAGGUUAAUAACCUUAGCAAUUGACGUUAGCGACAGAAGAAGCACCGGCUAACUCCGUGCCAGCAGCCGCGGUAAUACGGAGGGUGCGAGCGUUAAUCGGAAUUACUGGGCGUAAAGGGCACGCAGGCGGUUAAUUAAGUUGGAUGUGAAAUCCCCGGGCUUAACCUGGGAAUGGCAUUCAAGACUGGUUAGCUAGAGUCUUGUAGAGGGGGUAGAAUUCCAUGUGUAGCGGUGAAAUGCGUAGAGAUGUGGAGGAAUACCGGUGGCGAAGGCGGCCCCUGGACAAAGACUGACGCUCAUGUGCGAAAGCGUGGGGAGCAAACAGGGAUUAGAUACC